GGCUACAAACACAUCUCCCUUUCGAACACACCCCUCUGAAAAGAGACCCUGAGAGCCUGCAGAGGAGGAUCAGACAAGCUGUCCUGGUUGAAUGCUAUUGUCAUCAGAGUGAAGGAGGCUAGUUUCAAUGGCUGCAGCGCCAUGUUCAACAUCUGUUUGCUUGGGAGCAAAAUGAUUAUCUUCGGAGAGCAGCAAAGUUCAACUGCAAGUUUUGUAUGAUAUUUACAAAAUAUCCCUUGCUCUAUGAAGAUACUGACUGAGAUGACAGUGGAGCUACAGGAUAAGUCCUCGAGAGCAGCAGCUUCAGAGAACCAGGUGUACCAACAGAUUGCCCACUGCCCUGCAAUUCAGAAUUGGCCCAUGUCCACCUUCUCAGGACGGUUAUCUUGGAGAAGGGAUUUGAUGUUGGUGUUGAAGAAAACUCAUCGACGGCUUGGCAAGAAAUAAGAGAUGAAGAGUUCUGGAAGUCUGUAUAGAAAAGCUCAUAGAAGAGAACAGACAAGAGAAAUAAUUGUGUCCGGCACCUCUGCCCACCCCCCAAGCCAUGCUGAGAGAAGCAGAAAUGAGAACCGGCAC